rnacentral:rRNA from 1 species
GAUGAACGCUGACAGAAUGCUUAACACAUGCAAGUCAACUGUGGCGGAAGGGUGAGUAACGCGUAAAGAACUUGCCUAACAGAUAGGGACAACAUUUGGAAACGAAUGCUAAUACCUGAUACUGUGAGAGAGCUUUGCGUCCCAUUAGCUAGUUGGAGAGGUAACGGCUCACCAAGGCGAUGAUGGGUAGCCGGCCUGAGAGGGUGAUCGGCCACAAGGGGACGGGUACACGGCUCUUACUCCUACGGGAGGCAGAAGGGGGGAAUAUGGGACAAUGUACCAAAGUCUGUUCCAGCAAUUCUGUGUUCACGAUGAAGUUUUCGGAAUGUAAAGUGCUUUCAGUUGGGAAGCAGUCCCAACAGAAGAAGUGACGGCUAAAUACGUGCCAGCAGCCGCGGUAAUAC